rnacentral:rRNA from 1 species
UCGAGAAUUUUUCUCAAUGGGGGAAACCCUGAAGGAGCGACGCCGCGUGGAGGAUGAAGGUCUUCGGAUUGUAAACUCCUGUCAUUUGGGAACAAGUGCAUGCCAGUCACUACGGCGUGUUUGAUAGUACCAGAAGAGGAAGAGACGGCUAACUCUGUGCCAGCAGCCGCGGUAAUACAGAGGUCUCAAGCGUUGUUCGGAUUCAUUGGGCGUAAAGGGUGCGUAGGCGGUCGGGUAAGUCGGAUGUGAAAUCCUGGGGCUCAACCUCAGAACUGCAUUCGAUACUGCUUGGCUAGAGUACUGGAGAGGUGAGUGGAAUUCACGGUGUAGCAGUGAAAUGCGUAGAUAUCGUGAGGAAGACCAGCGGCGAAGGCGGCUCACUGGACAGUUACUGACGCUGAGGCACGAAGGCCAGGGGAGCAAACGG